AUGUUAUGUGUCAAUUAUGUCUCAUGAGAACACAAGACAAGCACAUAAUAAUGAUCAAAUUGUCUUCUAGUUCGCAGUCACUGUGGAUUUGUGAACUUCAUCAGCCAGCUCAGGAAGAUAACCCCAGAAAACCUAAUUAAUUUCACUCAUCCUGGUACAGAGAGCGUUCAGUUGAGAGCUAAUAGAAAAAGCCACACGCACACACAAAGGAAAAGCUGUUUAGAAGAGCUUCACUUGUUUUUCUGCUUCAUGUCUUGGCCGAGGCAAUUUUUAUGUCCUUUGCAUAUUUCACUGAGAAGCCUCAGCCACUUCUAGCCAUAACUUCGUUUCCUUCCUGUUGCGAAUUUUCUUCCUAGAUUUACUCUCCAGUCUCUAAAAAUAUCCAUCCCACAUUAUUUAUUCACUCCAUAAUGCACACCAUCCAAAGACAACAAUUUUGCCAAUAAACUGUUAUUCUAAUGAAUAAUGCAUACAGCCUUCAUUCUCCUGACAUGAACAAAUAUACUUUCAAAUGGGAAGAGUGUGGCUCUAUCUUAGUCUCGACUCCAUUUUAUUUUAACUUUAUGUAUAUAUAUAUUUAAAGGUUUUGUGAUGUCCUUCCUUGGGUGAACUCCAUGGGGAAUAAUUCUAAUAGUCUAAUUAAAAGAAACAAACCAUCGCACAGAAUCAUAACUGGAUUUAUAUACAGUGUUUGUUACACUGACAAUAAGGUGUUUGGAUGUGGAAAGAAAAAGGAAAUAAAUCAGCCAGUGUUUCAGGGUAGGAAAAAUGUGAAGUUCUCUCCUAAUAAGAAGACAUCACCAGUCGUUGUUUCAAAUUCUGCCACCAUCCACAGCUAUAGUUUACUUCUAUAUCCAUGGACAGGAUACAGUAUGCUGGGAUGAUGAAAAUGUUCAUUGUAGUAACAAUAAUAAUUAUCAUCAUCACUUUUGAGUUCCUAUGAAGUGCUAGACACCGUGCUAAGAAUUCUUUCCAUGUAUUAAGUUUCCUUAACCUGGGCACUACUGGUAUUUUGGGUCAGAAAAGUCUUUGUGGGAAAAGGCAAGUUGCUCUAUGGAUUUGUAGAACAUUUAGCAGCAUCCUACAAAUCUGCUGCACCCACUAGAUCCAGCAGCAACAUCUUCCUCCAAGUGACAACCAAAAAUGUCUCUCAACAGAGCCAAAGGUCUGCUGGAGGACACAAGUCUCCCCAGUUGGGAACUCUAGUAUACGUGACUGAACUUCUCAGGUGGCGCUAGUGGUAAAGAACCCGCGUGCCGAUGCAGGAGUCACAAGAGAGAGGAUUCAGUCUCUGGGAGGGGAAGAUGCCCUAGAGGAGGAAAUGGUCUCCAACUCCAGUGUUCUUGCCUGGAGAAUCCCAUGGGCAGCAGGGUCUGAUGGGCUUCAAUCCGAGGGGCUGCAAAGAGUCAGGCACAACUGAGCGACUGAGCAUACACAAUAUGCGUGACUAACUAUCUUCAUAACAUUCUUACACAACAAAUGCAUUAUUAGUCCCAUUUAUAAAUGAAGAAACGAAAGCUCAGAGUCAGUGACAGAGCCAAAAUUUGGUGCAGUGUUUACUGCCACAUCGAUCUUU
ensembl:lncRNA